UACGUAGGUGGCAAGCGUUGUCCGGAUUUACUGGGCGUAAAGAGCGCGCAGGCGGUCGUUCAAGUCGCGUGUGAAAGCCCCCGGCUCAACUGGGGAGGUCACGCGAUACUGAUCGACUCGAAGGCAGGAGAGGGUAGUGGAAUUCCCGGUGUAGUGGUGAAAUGCGUAGAUAUCUGGAGGAACACCGGUGGCGAAGGCGGCGUUCUGGACUGCAACUGACACUGAGGAACGAAAGCCAGGGAGCAAACGGG
rnacentral:rRNA from 1 species